GUGGAUAGAAACGCGAUUUCGUCGGACUUACGGCACAAGAUACUAAUUUGGUCGCACGUGAAUUAAUUUUUUAUUGCUUUAAAAUGGAUAUAAGCCAACAAAUCGAUAAUUUGAAAUUUUCAAACAAAGAUAAAAUUAUAAAAGAUGUAAAAACUGACGACACAGCAAACAAUUAUGUUAAUGAUUCAUCUGUGGAAUUGUUAUGGGCAAUGAAAGCUCACAAGCAUGCUGAAGUCUACAUGAAG
rnacentral:lncRNA from 1 species